UUCACAGAAUUUAAAUUGGCAUUAGGAAUAGAUUUCCUUGAUUUAGUAAUAAUAUUGCUCAUAGAAAUUGAUAAUGUGAAGAAUAACAAUACAGGAACAUAGAAUAACAAGAAAGAAAUUCUAGCAGCAAGUUAGGUUAUGAGAUAAAUUUUAUUUAUAUAGUUUGUUUAAAGAGUUUAGUUUGAAAAAAAGUUAAAACAAUUAUUAUUGUCCAGGUCAUAUUUGAUAACUGUUGUUAAUUGAUAAUUGUACGAUGUACAAUGCAGGCAAUAUUUCUGCCUCCUAACGCACUAUUCGCUUAAAAGAAGAUGUGGGUAUUGUAUUUAUACCUAGAACAGAUUUAUUAUUAGUUGGCUAGUGUGUUAGUAGGAUAGCCAUUGGUAGUUAUAAAGUAUGAAGUCGUCAGGUAUUAAUAAUAGGAAUUGAU